UCGACCCAUGGCACCUGCUGGGUCUGCCCCGUGACCUCCUGCCAGCGGGCGUUCGACACGUCACGUGGCCUCAAGGUGCACUUGGCCUGGCACAAGCGUCGUGGUGACGUCACCGCCACUUAGUGGCGAAUGGCGGUUGUUGUUGUUGUGCCAACUCUUAUCCGUUACAAUUUAAAUUGUGCUGUUUGUUGCUGGGCGAUUGAUGUGUUGGGGCCUUUCGGCCCUGCGCUGAGCGACUGUCUUUGAAACAAACAACCCGAUAUGACGCAGAACACAAGACGCCCCCAAAAGAGCUAAAGCGAGUAGCUCAACGAUCUCAAUCGACGAUGUCGCGUCGCAAGCUGCUCCUUGGCUUCGACGCAGGCCGGCCGGUGUUACUCAUCCAGUUGGCGAGACGAUCGAGGGAUAGAGAAGGGAGCUUCUCAAUUCAACUCGCCGAAGAAGCUGCUCCCAGCCGCGUGAGUGAAGAUGUGGGUAGGAGAAAAUCUCUUCGUGAUCCACCCCCCCCCCAACCGUUGGAUCAUUGUCGCGAAAGCUGUCGGGCUCGCAGCAGCUGCACCGGGGGCCCCCACGGAUCGGAGGGGAUCCAAGCGCCACAGGCGAAAAGGAAGAGGGGUGAAGAGUGGGCCCCGCGGAUAGGGGACGGGUUCCCCAUGGAUAGGCGGGUCCUCCUGUGACGAGGGGUCGGCGGGGGUCAGAGUUUUCUUUUUCCCCUAGCGUCAGGGCCCAUGGCAGCCAGGCUAACGCACACUGUGUCGUGUAUUUGCUCAGAUUCCGAGACAUCGCCAUCUUCGCAAUCAUCAUCGGCAGCAUUCUCCAUCACCACACCGCUUACGAGCGUUGUCAUCAUCAUCAUCAUCUUUUCACCAUCAGCACCACCGGGCAGAGGUCGGAUAAAUGAACACCAGCUGAUGGAAGAACCCUUCGAUGAGAAGUUAAGAAGUCACCAGUAGGUGUAAAAUGGAUAUGCUCCUCGCUGUCAGAUGAACGUGGAAUGUCCACAACUGAUUAAGGACCGCCCAAUGCAGAACAAUCAAUGCCCAGAUAUUCGUUUUCGCUAUGAAAUAUACACGAAUAUAAUCCACAUAUAACCCAAUUCGUACACUUUAUAUAUAGUAACGAAUUGGCCACGUUUUGUUUACAUGACAAACCUUACUAAUUGGCUGUGUCGGGUGGUGGCGGGUUUAACGACGCAUUUAUAUUUACGCGAUCUAAUCCCCAAAAAUGCAUCUAUUGUGGAGCCUCUCCCUCCUUAUCCGCAUCUCUCCGGAGCCUCUGCCCUUGCUGCUCCGUUGCCUUUCCAUUAUUUCCUCUUGUUUCCCAUGUUCUCUCUCUCAUCUCUCUCUUCCAUUUCACCCUUCUUUGAAAUUGUCCCAUUCACUGGAACAUAUCCUUGACUCUACCCCCCUUCCCGUCGUGGUCGUGUAGCGGUCAGCGCGCUACGUUUCCGGCGAUCCGAGUUCGAUUCCCGCUCACGGCCAACACCAAUGACGGUUUUAGUUCAUCGUUCCUGCUUUAGGCCGACUCGGCCUCAAAUGAGUACCCGGUGCGAUGUGUAAACAUCGCCACUUGGGAGACAAAAAAAGAGGCGGUCGGGCGUGGCGCUGGCAACCCACCCUCUCGUGCGCCGUGGCGCCCUUCAUAGGUUCAGUGCUCGCCAACAGCACUCGCCCCCAAGACUUCUGUUAAGGCUAUAGAGGGGGGGGGGGGGGAGUGCAGGUGGAUUGUUGUCUCCGUGAGCAUGCGUUAGCCACUCACUCGCCCGCACGCUGCUGCUGCUUGCUACUGCACCUGCAUGUGUGACACACACGCGCGCGCGUGUGAGUGAGUUCCCAUGGAAGAGAGUGUUGAGUGAUGGCUCGGCGCUUGUGUCGGCGGCACUGCACGGUAUGCGACCCCGUGAUCGCAAUCGUGGGCACGAGGUGCGAAGGGAGGAGUGGUGGGAACGGCGGCGGUGGUGAUGGUGGUGGUGGUGAGCCGUGCCGGCCUUCAUAGGUGCUCGCUUACAUCAUUUUCGCCAAGAGCCCGCGUAGUUUAUACGGUGGGUCUUUGUUUUGGCGGUCGGGGUGUAUUGGGAGCGGUGGCGCAGCGGUUAGCGUGCGGAACCGAAGACCUGUUCAGAUAUCACUCGCCACUGAUGUCAUCCAAACACAGGUCGCUAAGUAAACAGCGCAGGGCUCUAACCACUGCGCCACCGCUCCCAAAAUGCAGUUAUGCGCUACGAACCCGGCGACCUGGGUUCAAUUCCCGGCCACAGCCAAAAUCAGCGGCGAGUGAUUUUCGCACUGAUUCUGGGCCUCCCUCUGGGUCGACUCAGCAUUGAACGAGCGCCUGUCGUUGUACGGAAACAUUUGAUGAAGGCGAGCGGGCGUGGUUUUGGCCACAUAACCCUCCCGUGCGCCGUGCCAACAGCCUUCACAGGUCUUCUUGGUUCUUUCGGUAAAGUCACGUAGAAGGGAAAUAAUAAAAAUUCAACAUAAUAAAAUUAUUAUAUUUAUUAUCAUUUUACUACUUCCCUUCUACGUGACUUUACCGAAAGAACCAAGAAGAUGAAUCCCUGCAAUCACGAAAGCUUUAAAUCGAAAUUUAACCUUCACAGGUGUUCGCUAGCAGCCCUUGUCCCCAACAGUCUAUUGCAGCGUAUUCCGAGUAUCUUUAUCUUUGUGAAGCCGGGUCACAGCUGAGCGAAUCAGUUGCGCAAUAAAAAAAAUCAUCCCCCCCCUCUCGAAAUCGCGCAACGCAAUCGUUGCCUGGCGACGAUUUUUUUUCUGUCCGCAUCUCGGCGAGAUAAACGAAGUGACCGCAAACUCCGCAGCGCUGCGUGCAGCGCGCGACGAAAGACGCCGCCGCAAAGUGAAUCGUCGGCGAGCAGAAUUGCGUCCCUCCUGUGAGCAAGCCGCUUUCCGCGACCGACCAACACGCCACCACGUCCGCACGCCGGCGACCCCGUUGCAUGCAACCGAGUUGCAAUCGAGUUGCAUGCAACUGAAUUGCAACCGAGUUGCAUGCAACCGAGUUGCAACCGAGUUGCAACCGAGUUGCAACCGAGUUGCAUGCAACCGAGUUGCAACCGAGUUGCAUGCAACCGAGUCGCAUGCAACCGAGUUGCGCGACUCCCCGAGCGAGCUCAGCGUGCCGGGAGGCGGCGGGAGGACGUCGGCGGUGUCGGAGCUCGAUCGCUCGCGGCCGCGUGCUCCCCGUGAAUUCCACGUUAAACGCCGAGUCAGAGGCUAAAUCUGGUCUCAAUUUCGCCGGGGGGGUGGGGUGGCGGGCGGUUAAACCGCGGUGCGCCUUUUUGGCUGUUGUUGCUGCUGCUGCUUACAAUGAUUGCUCCUCGCGGAGAAGCCGGCGACGCGCUCGGGUCGACACCGAGCGGCGGUGACGUCUCCGCCAACGCGACGACUUUGAGGCCCGCGUGGUCGCAGCGAUGGAGAUCGCAGGCGACAUGCGUUGACCGACUGACGGAUGCCACAGCCAUGUUCGACAGUGUUCCACUUUUGCUUGCGUUUUAUCCGCCCGGCGCUCCGCUCAUUGUUGUGAGCGUCGCCCGUCCGUGCUCCGCUGUUGCUGGUGGGCGAUUGCCUUCAACUGCCCAGUAGCGUCAUUCACGAGCCUCUUACACACGCAUCGACUUUCAAACAUACAUAUAAAGACAACGAUCCCCCCGUGAAGUAUGUAACAGACUGCUAAUGCAAGUGCUGUUAGCGAGCAUCUAUGAAGGCCGGCACGAGAGGGUGGGUGACUAACACCACGCCCGGCAGCUUUUGUCUCCCUAGUGUCGAUAUUUACACAUCGCACCGAGUACUUCUUUGAGGCUGAGUUGACUUAGGGGAGGCUCAGGACCGUUCAGAUAAUCGUCACUGAUUUUGACCGUGAGCGGGAAUUGAACUCGGGUCGUGUUAUAAUUGUGCAAGUGUUAUUAACAUCUGUUUCCAUUACCAUCAUCAUCACCGGUCUGCCACGCACGGUGCGACUGAAGUUCAACACGCGCACGCAGCGCCCGAUGAUCCUAGUAGCACAAGUAGCUACACAUGCAGCUACGGGCCCCGCACCUUCAAGGGCCCCGCGCUAAGUGCAAUCAAGCUAUCAAUUCCGGUUCAGUGAUUCUGAACUUGCUAUAUUACUAUAGUACUAUACUGCCUUCAACUUUCAUGAACGACUGGGUGUUUAAGGUUAGCGAUUUGACGUAUUAUGUGCCUGUAUAGCAAAUGAAAAAAUACAAUUACUUUCCUAUGCAAGUAAAAAAAUGUGUGUUUUAAUAUUUAUGUGUUUUUUAUUUAAAUUUAGGGCCCCUUUAUAACAUAAUCCUACAGGCCCCGCACUAGCUUAAUCCGGCACUGGGUACACACAGCGUUGCGUUUCUCCACGAAUUCUUUGCGCACUCGCGAGCGUUGACUUGAUCCAUCCGAUGCGCACGUGUCUCUACGUUUUCCAUCCGUGGCUGUACCGAAAGUUAGCGCUCGCCGAUGAAACCCGCGCGCCGUUCGGGCACGCCGUCGGUCAGUGUUCUUCACAUCACGAUCCAGUUCGCAUUCUGCGUCUGACCCCGUUUAACCCCGGACCGUGUCCCACCCAUCUUGGCAGCGCGACGCGCACGCACGCACUCCUCACUCGUGUUCCUCAAUCUCCGCCGCAACCGCACAGCACUUAGGCAUCAUCCACACAGCAUAUGCAGUACUAGCCCUUGCGGUUUGCGAUUAUUGAUAGGGAACAAACACGCUUCGUUUUUCCUCCCACCCCUUGAGCAGAGACAUGUUGGACGAGGUCGACCUACCGACACUUUACCCCCCACCACAUGCGCGAAACUGCAGAUCGGAGUGGAAAGAUGUUAACUCCCUCGCCUGGCAUGCAGGAGGUCGUGCGUUCGAUCCCGACUCCGACGCCUGCUUAUUUUGAGUUUGCGUGUUCUCUCCGUGGUCGCGUGGAUUUUCCUCUGGGUGAUGUAGGGUUUUCCCUCCACAUUUAGAAUCAACGUCACGCGUUUAGAGUAUGUGGCUGCUGCUAUACCUUCCCACAUGAUGAGCCACUUCGUUGAGCUAUCAUUUGUGGCCAGGUCGCUUCUGAAAAGGAGCUAUAGAGCUCAGUGGGCCUUUCUUGGAACAAAUAAAAAAAGUUUAGUAACUGUGAUGGUGGUAGUUCAGUUGUCGUGCCUGAUAGAAUCGAAUCGAACCGGCGACCUCUGGAUUGCAUCUCUAGCCUGUGAACCAAUUUCACCGUGGCAAACUCUAGAUAUUUCCACACACACACACAUAAUGUGUCAAUAUACGUAUAGAAGGGCUGGUGCACUCUAAUGAACCCAUUAACGUGACUUCAAAACCGCUCGCCCAGACGCCCGCAAAUUAGCGAUGCCAGGAAGCGUGACACGCGGUCUCGGAGCGCUGUAACUCGUGUUUCUUGGAACAUACAAUCCCCGGGCAGGACAGUGUGUG